rnacentral:rRNA from 1 species
GAACGCUAGCUACAGGCUUAACACAUGCAAGUCGAGGGGCAGCAUGGUCUUAGCUUGCUAAGGCCGAUGGCGACCGGCGCACGGGUGAGUAACACGUAUUCAACCUGCCGUCUACUCUUGGACAGCCUUCUGAAAGGAAGAUUAAUACAAGAUGGCAUCAUGAGUCCGCAUGUUCACAUGAUUAAAGGUAUUCCGGUAGACGAUGGGGAUGCGUUCCAUUAGAUAGUAGGCGGGGUAACGGCCCACCUAGUCUUCGAUGGAUAGGGGUUCUGAGAGGAAGGUCCCCCACAUUGGAACUGAGACACGGUCCAAACUCCUACGGGAGGCAGCAGUGAGGAAUAUUGGUCAAUGGGCGAGAGCCUGAACCAGCCAAGUAGCGUGAAGGAUGACUGCCCUAUGGGUUGUAAACUUCUUUUAUAAAGGAAUAAAGUCGGGUAUGCAUACCCGUUUGCAUGUACUUUAUGAAUAAGGAUCGGCUAACUCCGUGCCAGCAGCCGCGGUAAUACGGAGGAUCCGAGCGUUAUCCGGAUUUAUUGGGUUUAAAGGGAGCGUAGAUGGAUGUUUAAGUCAGUUGUGAAAGUUUGCGGCUCAACCGUAAAAUUGCAGUUGAUACUGGAUAUCUUGAGUGCAGUUGAGGCAGGCGGAAUUCGUGGUGUAGCGGUGAAAUGCUUAGAUAUCACGAAGAACUCCGAUUGCGAAGGCAGCCUGCUAAGCUGCAACUGACAUUGAGGCUCGAAAGUGUGGGUAUCAAACAGGAUUAGAUACCCUGGUAGUCCACACGGUAAACGAUGAAUACUCGCUGUUUGCGAUAUACAGCAAGCGGCCAAGCGAAAGCGUUAAGUAUUCCACCUGGGGAGUACGCCGGCAACGGUGAAACUCAAAGGAAUUGACGGGGGCCCGCACAAGCGGAGGAACAUGUGGUUUAAUUCGAUGAUACGCGAGGAACCUUACCCGGGCUUAAAUUGCAGAUGAAUUACGGUGAAAGCCGUAAGCCGCAAGGCAUCUGUGAAGGUGCUGCAUGGUUGUCGUCAGCUCGUGCCGUGAGGUGUCGGCUUAAGUGCCAUAACGAGCGCAACCCUUGUUGUCAGUUACUAACAGGUUCCGCUGAGGACUCUGACAAGACUGCCAUCGUAAGAUGUGAGGAAGGUGGGGAUGACGUCAAAUCAGCACGGCCCUUACGUCCGGGGCUACACACGUGUUACAAUGGGGGGUACAGAGGGCCGCUACCACGCGAGUGGAUGCCAAUCCCAAAAACCUCUCUCAGUUCGGACUGGAGUCUGCAACCCGACUCCACGAAGCUGGAUUCGCUAGUAAUCGCGCAUCAGCCACGGCGCGGUGAAUACGUUCCCGGGCCUUGUACACACCGCCCGUCAAGCCAUGGGAGCCGGGGGUACCUGAAGUGCGUAACCGCGAGGAGCGCCCUAGGGUAAAACUGGUA